rnacentral:tmRNA from 1 species
GGAGAUGGUGGUGGAGACGAGCUGGCCCGUCUGGUUGAUGGUAACCGGCGCCUGCGUACGGGUCAGCGAGGCGAAGUUGGAAAGUGGAACCAGAACUCCUGAUUUCGCCGAAAGAAUAUUGAUAUCGCUGAGGAAAUCGUCAUUCCAGGAUUUGGAGCUGUCGAAUUCCACGAUGACGUCGUAGCUAUCGCCCGUCGACUGGAUUUGUGCCGCGGUAUAGCCGCCGAAGGACAUUUCCAGUGUCUUGCGUAACUGGUCAUUGGUGAUGCCGAAGGCGGCCGCUUUUUCCGGAUCGACGGAGAUCGUCGCGGCAAUCGCCCCGUUCUGGGCGUCGGUGGUGACGGCGGUGAAUGUGUGGUCGCGGCGCAUCGCCUCCA